rnacentral:rRNA from 1 species
AUGGGGAGCUUGCUCCCCUGAGAUCAGCGGCGGACGGGUGAGUAACACGUGGGCAACCUGCCUGUAAGACUGGGAUAACUCCGGGAAACCGGGGCUAAUACCGGAUAACAUUUUCCAUUGCAUAGUGGAAAAUUAAAAGAUGGCUCCGGCUAUCACUUACAGAUGGGCCCGCGGCGCAUUAGCUAGUUGGUGAGGUAAGGGCUCACCAAGGCGACGAUGCGUAGCCGACCUGAGAGGGUGAUCGGCCACACUGGGACUGAGACACGGCCCAGACUCCUACGGGAGGCAGCAGUAGGGAAUCUUCGGCAAUGGGCGAAAGCCUGACCGAGCAACGCCGCGUGAGCGAUGAAGGCCUUCGGGUCGUAAAGCUCUGUUGUUAGGGAAGAACAAGUACCGUUCGAAUAGGGCGGUACCUUGACGGUACCUAACCAGAAAGCCACGGCUAACUACGUGCCAGCAGCCGCGGUAAUACGUAGGUGGCAAGCGUUGUCCGGAAUUAUUGGGCGUAAAGCGCGCGCAGGCGGUCUCUUAAGUCUGAUGUGAAAGCCCACGGCUCAACCGUGGAGGGUCAUUGGAAACUGGGGGACUUGAGUACUGGAGAGGAGAGUGGAAUUCCAUGUGUAGCGGUGAAAUGCGUAGAUAUAUGGAGGAACACCAGUGGCGAAGGCGGCUCUCUGGCCAGUAACUGACGCUGAGGCGCGAAAGCGUGGGGAGCAAACAGGAUUAGAUACCCUGGUAGUCCACGCCGUAAACGAUGAGUGCUAGGUGUUGGGGGGGUUCCACCCUCAGUGCUGACGUUAACACAUUAAGCACUCCGCCUGGGGAGUACGGCCGCAAGGCUGAAACUCAAAGGAAUUGACGGGGGCCCGCACAAGCAGUGGAGCAUGUGGUUUAAUUCGAAGCAACGCGAAGAACCUUACCAGGUCUUGACAUCCUUCGCUACUUCUAGAGAUAGAAGGUUCCCCUUCGGGGGACGAAGUGACAGGUGGUGCAUGGUUGUCGUCAGCUCGUGUCA